rnacentral:RNase_P_RNA from 1 species
GGGGCAGAUCGGGCAAUCGCGGUGCCGUUUGACGGUGUCGAGGAAGGUCCGGACUCCAUCGGGCGCGAUAGCGGCCAACAGCCGUCCGGCGACCCCUACGGGGCAAGCCGAGGAAAGGGCCACAGAGACGAGUCUGCGACGGGGGUGCGCGCAAGCGCACACGGGUACGGCGACUUCCGUACCGUCCAGGCGGCUUGUCCGCCAGGCCGUGGCAGGGUGAAACGCGGCAACCUCUAUCGGGAGCAACAUCAAAUAGGCAUGCACCGGCUUCGUGCCGACAGGGCGGCCCGCCCAAGCAUGCGGGUAGAUGGCUUGAGCGCGUCAGUAAUGGCGCGACCAGAGGAAUGAUUGCCCGUCGGGGAAACCCGGCGUACAGAAUCCGGCCUAUAGAUCUGUUCCGCAC